rnacentral:lncRNA from 1 species
AAGCCUUUGUACUCAUUUGAAGAUAAUUCAGACUAUGUCUAUGAUGUUAUGUGGUCACCCACCCACCCAGCCCUGUUUGCCUGUGUGGAUGGCAUGGGGAGACUGGAUCUAUGGAAUCUCAACAAUGACACAGAGUGCUCUGUGAUUGUAGCUUCAUCACAAAGAAACCAAGUAAGGGUCCUUGUCAGUUAUGUCCUCACUGCCCUGAGUGAGUAGGAACAUUGUUCUUAGUGCCAGCAUGCAUUCGCCUACCUGUUUUAAGUUUCAUGUUGAUGCCGUUUUCCUUCUCUAUAGUUCAUGGUAGUUAUCUAUAAAUAAAAACAAAUAUGUGCUAA